rnacentral:tRNA from 1 species
AAAAAGGUAGGUUAAAAAAACCAAUUGAUUCAUGAUCAAUAGAUGCAUUUAUUGUCUUUUUUG